GAUGAACGCUAGCUACAGGCUUAACACAUGCAAGUCGAGGGGAAACGGCAUUAAGUGCUUGCACUUUUUGGACGUCGACCGGCGCACGGGUGAGUAACGCGUAUCCAACCUUCCCAUGACUAAGGGAUAACCUGCCGAAAGGCAGACUAAUACCUUAUGGUCUUCACUGACGGCAUCAGAUGUGAAGUAAAGAUUUAUCGGUUAUGGAUGGGGAUGCGUCUGAUUAGCUUGUUGGCGGGGUAACGGCCCACCAAGGCAACGAUCAGUAGGGGUUCUGAGAGGAAGGUCCCCCACAUUGGAACUGAGACACGGUCCAAACUCCUACGGGAGGCAGCAGUGAGGAAUAUUGGUCAAUGGGCGAGAGCCUGAACCAGCCAAGUAGCGUGCAGGAUGACGGCCCUAUGGGUUGUAAACUGCUUUUGUAUGGGGAUAAAGUCAAUCACGUGUGAUUGUUUGCAGGUACCAUACGAAUAAGGACCGGCUAAUUCCGUGCCAGCAGCCGCGGUAGUACGGAAGGUCCGGGCGUUAUCCGGAUUUAUUGGGUUUAAAGGGAGCGUAGGCUGGAGAUUAAGUGUGUUGUGAAAUGUAGACGCUCAACGUCUGACUUGCAGCGCAUACUGGUUUCCUUGAGUACGCACAACGUUGGCGGAAUUCGUCGUGUAGCGGUGAAAUGCUUAGAUAUGACGAAGAACUCCGAUUGCGAAGGCAGCUGACGGGAGCGCAACUGACGCUGAAGCUCGAAGGUGCGGGUAUCGAACAGG
rnacentral:rRNA from 1 species